CAAUAGCGUAUAUUUAAGUUGCUGCAGUUAAAAAGCUCGUAGUUGGAUUUCGGGUGGGAAUGGCCGGUCCGCCGUUUCGGUGUGCACUUGCUACGCCCACCUUGCUGCCGGGGACGUGCUCUUGAGUUCACGCUCGGGACACGGAGUCGGCGAGGUUACUUUGAGUAAAUUAGAGUGUUCAAAGCAGGCCUACGCUCUGAAUACAUUAGCAUGGAAUAACACGAUAGGACUCUGGCCUAUCUUGUUGGUCUGUAGGACCGGAGUAAUGAUUAAGAGGGACAGUCGGGGGCAUUCGUAUUUCAUUGUCAGAGGUGGAAUUCUUGGAUUUAUGAAAGACGAACUACUGCGAAAGCAUUUGCCAAGGAUGUUUUCAUUAA
rnacentral:rRNA from 1 species